GAUGAACGCUGGCGGCGUGCCUAAUACAUGCAAGUCGAGCGAACAGACGAGGAGCUUGCUCCUCUGACGUUAGCGGCGGACGGGUGAGUAACACGUGGAUAACCUACCUAUAAGACUGGGAUAACUUCGGGAAACCGGAGCUAAUACCGGAUAAUAUAUUGAACCGCAUGGUUCAAUAGUGAAAGACGGUUUUGCUGUCACUUAUAGAUGGAUCCGCGCCGCAUUAGCUAGUUGGUAAGGUAACGGCUUACCAAGGCAACGAUGCGUAGCCGACCUGAGAGGGUGAUCGGCAACACUGGAACUGAGACACGGUCCAGACUCCUACGGGAGGAAGCAGGAGGGAAUCUUCCGCAAUGGGCGAAAGCCUGACGGAGCAACGCCGCGUGAGUGAUGAAGGUCUUCGGAUCGUAAAACUCUGUUAUUAGGGAAGAACAUAUGUGUAAGUAACUGUGCACAUCUUGACGGUACCUAAUCAGAAAGCCACGGCUAACUACGUG
rnacentral:rRNA from 1 species